rnacentral:rRNA from 1 species
GACGAACGCUGGCGGCGUGCUUAACACAUGCAAGUCGAACGGUAAGGCUCCAGCUUGCUGGGGUACACGAGUGGCGAACGGGUGAGUAACACGUGGGUGACCUGCCCUGCACUUCGGGAUAAGCCUGGGAAACUGGGUCUAAUACCGGAUAGGACUGCACCGUGAGGGUGUGGUGGAAAGUUUUUUCGGUGUGGGAUGGGCCCGCGGCCUAUCAGCUUGUUGGUGGGGUAAUGGCCUACCAAGGCGGCGAUGGGUAGCCGGCCUGAGAGGGUGGACGGCCACAUUGGGACUGAGACACGGCCCAGACUCCUACGGGAGGCAGCAGUGGGGAAUAUUGCACAAUGGGCGGAAGCCUGAUGCAGCGACGCCGCGUGGGGGAUGACGGCCUUCGGGUUGUAAACUCCUUUCACCAUCGACGAAGGGUUUCUGACGGUAGAUGGAGAAGAAGCACCGGCUAACUACGUG